rnacentral:rRNA from 1 species
ACGAAGGGUGCAAGCGUUACUCGGAAUUACUGGGCGUAAAGCGUGCGUAGGUGGUUCGUUAAGUCUGAUGUGAAAGCCCUGGGCUCAACCUGGGAAUGGCAUUGGAUACUGGCGACCUAGAGUGCGGUAGAGGGUGGCGGAAUUCCCGGUGUAGCAGUGAAAUGCGUAGAUAUCGGGAGGAACAUCAGUGGCGAAGGCGGCCCUCUGGUCCAGUACUGACACUCAAGUGCGAAAGCGUGGGGAGCAAACAGGA